ensembl:lncRNA
AAAUCACGCGUUUUGUCUUCGGAAAUCCCCCAUUUAUGCGAAAAUCACGAAUUUUCUCUUCUCAAAUACCCCAUUUAUCAAAAAUCACACGUUUUCUCUUCGCAAAUCCCCCAUUUAAGCGAAAAUCACGCGUUUUCUCUACACAAAUCCCCCAUUUAUGCGAAGAACACGCGUUUUCUUUUCGCAAAUCACACAUUUAUGCGUAAAUCACGUUUUCUCUUCGAGAAUCCAACAUUUAAGUGAAAAUCACGCGUUUUCUCAAAUCCCACAUUUAAGCAAAAGUCACGCGUUUUCGCUAAUCCCCCAUUUAACCAGAAAACCAAGCAUUUUCUCUUCGAGAAUCCCCCAUUGAACCCGAAUAUCAUGUGUUUACUCAAAUCCCCCAUUUAAGCAAAAAUCACGCAUUUUCUCUUUGCAAAUCCCCCAAUUAACACAAAAAAACACGCAUUUUCUCUUCAGAAAUCCCACAUUUAAGCGAAAAUCACACGUUUUCCCUUCGCAAGUCCCCCAUUUAAGCGAAAAUCACGCGUUUUCUUUUCGCGAAUCCCCCAUUUAAGCAAAAAUCACGACUCUUCUCUUCGCAAAUCCCCCAUUCAACCCGAAAAUCACGCGUUUUCUCUUCGAGAAUCCCCCUUUUAACCCGAAAACCACGCGUUUUCUCUUCGAGAAUCCAACAUUUAACCAGAAAAUCACGCGUUUUAUCUUUGCAAGUCCCCCAUUUAAGCGAAAAUCACGCAUUUUCUCUUUGCGAAUACCCCAUUUAACACAAAAAAACACGCAUUUUCUCUUCAGAAAUCCCACAUUUAAGCGAAAAUCACACGUUUUCCCUUCGCAAAACCCCCAUUUAACCCGAAAAUCUCGCAUUUUCUCUUUGAGAAUCGUCAAUUUAAGCAAAAAUCACACGUUUUCUCUUCGCAAAUCACACAUUUAUGCGAAAAUCACGUUUUCUCUUCGAUAAUCCUCCAUUUAACGUGUAAAUGACACGUUUUCUCUUUCAAGUCCCCCAUUUAAGCGAAAAUCACGCGUUUUCUUUUAGCAAAUCCCCCAUUUAAGUGAAAAUCACGCGUUUUCUCUUCGAGAAUCCAACAUUUAACGAAAAUCACGCGUUUUCUCAUAUCCCCCAUUUAAGCGAAAAUCACGCGUUUUCUCUUCGCAAAUCCCCCAUUUAAC